CUCUACCUGCCACCCAUCACAGAACUCAGAGUUUCACCACUUCCUUCUCCAUUUUCUUUAGCUGUCAGCAUAUAGUUAAUGGGCAACAACAAAGCUCUCCAUCCAGUUCUGGGAAAUAAUAAUCAUGGUUAAUAGUUAUUGAGAACUGAUGAUUUCGUUUCUUCUUCAUACCAACGCUUGGGGUAGGCACCAUUUUAAAAGCGAUUGGAGACAGGUUAAACAACUUGCCCUCAAUCAACGGUUGGGAAGUGAAAGAACCAAGCUUCAAAUCCAGGUCUGUCUGGGUCUUGAGCCAAGCUCGAAGUCUGUGUCACAUUGCCCAGGACUCGGCUGCCAAUUCUCCCCACCUCCUCGUCCCUCACUGCUGCAUCAGCAAAUCCAGGGCUCAUGGCAGGAAGAGCAGAGAAGAGCAAAGAUUUUGGUCUGAAGCCUCUUUUCCAUUGCCGUCCAGACAGUUUGAAUAUCACCUUUGAUUUCUUCAAUUUUAAAGACCCAUUUUUGACUAGUAACGUGGAACGCGAAGGUAGAAAUAACCGAAGGCAUCAGAGGAGAGAGAAGUGGAUGAAAACUCCUCGAAGUCACAUCUAUCCAUCCUUGCCUGGCACAGAGGAGAUGCUUCAUUUGGAUGUGUUGCUGGAGGGGAGAGGUGCAAGCAGUAUGCCAUGGGCACUCAGAGAAAGAGACUAUCUUUAUUCCUGUAAGCUUCAACUAGGGAGCUUCAAUGUUGCGCAAAUGACAGCAGAGAGAGUCAUCAGGUCAAGCCUAUCCAGCAAGAAGCCAAGUGGAGAGUUGAGCAAUUAUCUGAAGUGGGCAGUGAGACGGCCAAAACCAGAUAAUACUUAACCAGAAAGUCAUCGUGGAGGGAAAAAGUGGACUGAAAAUAGAAGGGAUGGGGUAAAAUGUCAAACAAUUUGGUCAGUGUCCACAGUCCAAAUUCACUGGAUAACAGCCAAUUCCUUGCUUCAUGUAAUUAUUUAGAAUGAGUCUAAAAGACUGAGGUUUUAAAAAAAGAAGAUGAAUUUGUUACCAAGGUUGUUGCAUGUUUGUGCAAAACUUUUUCAUAUCCGUAGGACUAUCUGUGACAUGUCUAAUUCUGAAUAUUUCCAGGAUAUUUUAGAUUGGUGGGUCAAGGUUGUUGAGGAAGCCCAUAUUAUCUGUAGACUUACAUGGAGAAAAACUUUCUUUUAUGGAUUAUUUGAGUGUUAUAUUUAAUUCGCCUUUCUCCCCCCAUAGCAUAUUGCUUAGGAAUUUUCCAUUGAAAACUCCUGGUUCUCUGUUACUUUAUCAUUUCCUCAUGUGGCAAUUUCAGUAUCCCCUUGAUUUUAGUAGAACCUAUCAAUGAAGUAUAUAAGUCUACUAGAAUGGGAUUUGCAUUACUUUUGGUUAAAAAAAAACCCCACCAAAGUCUCAGAUCAAUGUGGUGUUUUUUUCCCUUCUAUUUGGUAUAAAAACCAUAAACUAAUUACUCUGAACAGAUGUUUCCUAGACCUAAAAUAUAGUUAUCAGCCCACUGGCCUCUAUAAAUCCGUCGCUGUAUACCUGGUAAUCCUGAAGACUCCUUAGUGCCAUGUUAAACCUUCCAUUUGUUGAUUUUUUAUUGAGAAAAAGUUCAUAAAUUAGGUUCACUGCUGCUUGGAAUUAAGAAGAAAACACAGCCAUGUUAGUAUUUCAGAUGGGAAAACCAAAGUUAAACAAGUAUUUUUUUUUCACUCUAUCAUGUCUUGAACAUUUGAAGCCAUUACAUAGCAUCUUAGAAACAAAAAAAAAUAACCCAGGGCUACUUUUUUCAGUAGCUUUGGCUGAUGUUUGAAAUCCACAGUGAAAAUUGCCCAUGGAAUAUUCUGGAAGGACUCCAAGGGAGUCUAUUGGAAUAUCUUACAAUAAAGUAAAAAUUCAAGAAGAAUUUUACAUGCAAGUAAGGAUUAAGAAAUUUGUUUUAUAAGUCACGGGAUAAAGGUAUGUAUUAAGUGACAUUGCUAAAUUCUUCCCUUGUGCUGUACAGUGACUGCUUUCCCCAUCAUAUGGUCAUGUCUGAAUCUCUGUGGGAAACCCAUCCCACACAGCCACAGCAGGUGUAACUCUUCUGCCGAAUACUUGAUUGGACAUACUGUGGGCCAGGACCUUUUGCUCUAAUGGUAAAAUUGACCUACAGAAAUGGAAGUCAUUCUAUGGACCUGAGUUGAUAGAAUGGAUGGUGCAUUCUGCAUAAAUGCUUGCUAAUGGUGUCAGUGGUAAAUGGUUUAUGCCCUACUUUGCUUUGUAAAAGACUAUGAUCAUGGAAUUUGAGCUGAAUAGACAAGCAAAAGAUUGAUUCUUCAGUGUCUACUGAUAAGUAAGCCUGUUUUAUCUUCAACCAUCUUGUUUCAUUUAAGUGAGGAAUCAAACCAGCUUUAAUUAAGGAAAUCUUUAGAAAUCACCCAUGCCAUCUUUUUACUCCCUGUUAAAAACAAAACAAAGAAGAAAACUAGAAAGACUUCAGCACAAAAACAUCUGCAUGUUGUCCAGGACCGUAGGACCGAAUCUUAGCACAACUCUUUUUGAGGAAGGAUACAGAUAUUAACCUGAAUUUUGAAUCACGGCUGAGGGAUGUGUGAACAAGUUAGUUUCCUCUUUUCUCCCUCCUGACUUCUUCCAUGAAUACGUAAGACCUAAUUUGGCCAUUCAGUUUGGAGAAUGAUUUUUUUCAUUUAAUUUCUUUGAUUAUCAAGCGUUGUAUUGCUAGGG
rnacentral:lncRNA from 1 species